AGCGAACGCUGGCGGCAUGCUUAAUACAUGCAAGUCGAACGGAGGGUGCUUGCACCCUCAGUGGCAAACGGGUGAGUAACGCGUGGGAAUCUGCCCUAUGGUGGGGGAUAACUAAGGGAAACUUUAGCUAAUACCGCAUAUUCUUGGCAACAAGGAAAGAUUUAUUGCCAUAGGAUGAGCCCGCGUCAGAUUAGGUAGUUGGUGGGGUAAUGGCCUACCAAGCCUGUGAUCUGUAGCUGGUCUGAGAGGAUGAUCAGCCACACUGGGAUUGAGAUACGGCCCAGACUCCUACGGGAGGCAGCAGUAGGGAAUAUUGGACAAUGGGGGGAAACCCUGAUCCAGCAAUGCCGCGUGAGUGAAGAAGGCCUUCGGGUUGUUAAAGGCUCUUUCUAGUUACGAAGAUAGUGACGGUAGUAACGA
rnacentral:rRNA from 1 species